GGACGACCAGCCACACUGGGACUGAGACACGGCCCAGUCACGAUAUGGUAGGCAGCAGUGGGGAAUAUUGCACAAUGGGGGAAACCCUGAUGCAGCAACGCCGCGUGGAGGAUGACACAUUUCGGUGCGUAAACUCCUUUUAUAUAGGAAGAUGAUGACGGUACUAUAUGAAUAAGCACCGGCUAACUCCGUGCCAGCAGCCGCGGUAAUACGGAGGGUGCAAGCGUUACUCGGAAUCACUGGGCGUAAAGAGCGUGUAGGCGGGUAUAUAAGUCAGAAGUGAAAUCCUAUAGCUUAACUAUAGAACUGCUUUUGAAACUGUAUACCUAGAAUGUGGGAGAGGUAGAUGGAAUUUCUGGUGUAGGGGUAAAAUCCGUAGAGAUCAGAAGGAAUACCGAUUGCGAAGGCGAUCUACUGGAACAUUAUUGACGCUGAGACGCGAAAGCGUGGGGAGCAAACAGGAUUAGAUACCCUGGUAGUCCACGCCCUAAACGAUGUACACUAGUUGUUGUGGGGCUCGACCCUGCAGUAAUGCAGUUAACACAUUAAGUGUACCGCCUGGGGAGUACGGUCGCAAGAUUAAAACUCAAAGGAAUAGACGGGGACCCGCACAAGCGGUGGAGCAUGUGGUUUAAUUCGACGAUACACGAAGAACCUUACCUGGACUUGACAUAGUAAGAACUUUCUAGAGAUAGAUUGGUGUCUGCUUGCAGAAACUUAUAUACAGGUGCUGCACGGCUGUCGUCAGCUCGUGUCGUGAGAUGUUGGGUUAAGUCCCGCAACGAGCGCAACCCUCGUCAUUAGUUGCUAACAGUUCGGCUGAGAACUCUAAUGAGACUGCCUACGCAAGUAGGAGGAAGGUGAGGACGACGUCAAGUCAUCAUGGCCCUUACGUCCAGGGCUACACACGUGCUACAAUGGGGUAUACAAAGAGCAGCAAUACGGUGACGUGGAGCAAAUCUCAAAAAUAUCUCCCAGUUCGGAUUGUAGUCUGCAACUCGACUACAUGAAGUUGGAAUCGCUAGUAAUCGUAGAUCAGCUAUGCUACGGUGAAUACGUUCCCGGGUCUUGUACUCACCGCCCGUCACACCAUGGGAGCAUAUCGUGACUGGGAAACAGAUCGGAAGAGCACACGUCUGAACUCCAGUCACCGGCUAUGAUCUCGUAUGCCGUCUUCUGCUUGAAAAAAA
rnacentral:rRNA from 1 species